AGAGACAUGUGGGUGUUUUGAAGCUUUAUUUUUCUUGAUAGUAGUUUUUCCACGACAAAGCUCCGUAAUUAUGUUAUCAAUAUAUUGGCAACGGGAAAUUGUCGUCGUACAUUAAUCAGUGGCUUUAAUAUUGUUAGCUGGAAGCUAACUGAAAGCUAACACGUGCCUAUAUGCGCCUCGGUAAAAGUAAACAUUGAAUCGAGAUGGAGAUUCACACAGCAGCACUGGUCGCUCCUGUCACAGCAGUGGAAUUUUUGCAAAGCACAUUUUUAUUGACAGGUGAGGGUCCGGUGCUGACAGUGUACGCUCUCCGACCAAGACCCAAAGCAUUUGCCAUUCUGAGUGUUCUUCAGCACUACAGGAUUCAUGGAAUGCGUCCGCAAAGUUCACUCGCAGAUAUUAAUAGAGAGACCUCUGGUUGUGGACAAAGCCUCUAUGAUCUGGCAGUGUUUGGUGGCAAAGCUGUUCGACUUGUCAGGCUGCAUUUGGAUGAUGAGGAGCGACGUUUGGAGAUGCUGAGUCCACUGAUUGAGCUGAACGACUGGGUUCUGGAUGCUCGCUGGCUCCCUGACAACAGACAGCUUCUGUGUGUGGCUGUGGCCCACAAUGGUGCUCUUCUCCUGGAUGUUACAACGGGAAGUGUAACGGCUCGCCACUCUUGUGUGGAAGGUUGCCUUCUGUACUCUGCUCUCCUGAUCGUGCACCGAUUUUGGACGGACACCAUUGUCAUAGGAGGGACUGUUUUCAAUCAACUAGUUUUGUGGAAGCCAGAAGAGAACGGAGGGGACCAACACAAAUCCCCAGUUGCGAGGCGUCUCCUGGGUCACCGUGGUGUCAUCUUCAGCAUCUCCUAUCUGCAGGAGGAAGGACUGCUAGCAUCAGCCUCAGACGACCGCAGUGUCAGAGUUUGGGCAGUUGGUGCUUUAGGAGGUCCUGGUGGGGAAUUCGGAGACUUGAACCCAACUUGUUUAAGGGUUCUGUAUGGACAUCAGGCAAGGGUUUUCUCUGUCCAUAUCUCUCCUGGGAAAGUUUUCAGUGCCGGGGAAGAUGCGGCCUGUAUAGUUUGGGAUCUAACUCAAGGUGGAACAGUUUGUCGGACUCUGAAGGGGCACAGAGCUGGAGGGAUUCGAGCCCUGGCAGUAAGCACUGCAACGUGUAAUAACUCAAACUGGGUGGCUUCAGGAGGAGCUGAUGGAGGUGUCCGACUGUGGCAGGUAGCAGAAGGCCAGGAGAAAAAGGAGGAGACCAUUGAGAAGCUCAGUGAUCUCCGAUUUUCAGGUCUGGGCGCACCCAAAGUAGUUUGUUUAACUGGUGAGCAUAAGGGUUGGAGGAAAUGUGAGUUUGUAGUUUGCACUGACAGUGGAGUUGUGUAUGUUCACAGGGCAGGGGAGUGGGAGAUGCUGUGGCAGGGUUCUUCUGACUUUCAGUCUUAUUGUCUGAUGACGACAGUCUCAGUCAAAUGCUCGACUGCUGAUGUGGACUUGUGUGCUGUGGGAAGCCUCAGCGGCUCCAUUUGGGUCUUCCUUGUCUCCCAACCUCACUCUGGGAUUCUUCUCAGCGCAGGAACCGGAAAAAUUCACAGUCUUAUUUGGCAGCAGGGAGGAACACACAUGCAUUUGCUGGCGUCGGGGGCAGAGGGUCUUGUCUAUCGCUGGAGCCUCAGUGUGACAUUCAAAGACGGUUCUUUACACCUAAACACAUUAUCUUGCCGCCCAUUUCUUCUCCCUCCAUGUGCUAAGCGCUGGCUGACAGCUGCAGUGCACCUACACCCCCAAUCAUUAUGGGUUUGUGGGGACCGCAGGGGCUCUUUGCUUUUGUUUGAGGAAGGAGGUCACAGUGCUGAAGGUUGUAUGGAGGAAAAAGAUGGGCAGACUUUAACGCCUUCAAGCGUUCUGUUUGGCGUUCAUGGCAAAGCAGGUGUGACGUCGGUGUGUGAGUAUCAAGGUCUUCUGUACAGCACAGGGAGGGACGGCUGUGUGAGGAUCUUCAGGGUGCAUCAUUCACUAUGUGAUGACUCUGAAGGAAAACUGGGACUUGAGGUUUUGAGAGUUCAGCGGGCCUGCAAAGGUAUGGAGUGGCUGGAGAGGGUUUUGUUUCUGAGCCUGGAGGAAGUUGGAUAUCAUGAAAAGCAUGCAACAGAGGAUGACACCAACUACUCCAGAGAAACUAGGUUUGUUAUUGUCGGUUUUCACGCUGUGCACUUUGUGGUUUGGGAUCCAGUGAGACAGGAGAGGCUGAUGUCUGUUCCUUGUGGUGGAGGUCAUCGCUCCUGGAGUCUGUGGCCUUUUGAGACAGGAGUCUGGCCUGGAUAUGGAGCAUUAGUUUUCAUCAAGCAGGGAUCUGUGAUGGCUUCUCAGCCUCCAGUGGAGAUGUUGAACUGGGCUGAAGAGAAGCCUGGAGGAUUGGGCCUCAGGGAGGGCAUCCAUGGUCGGGGGAUCGGAUGUGUCUGCUGGCUUGGCAGAGUCAGAGCAGAGGAAGGACACUGGGUAGUCAUAGCAACCGGAGGAGAGGACACUAGCGUAGCGAUCCUUGCUUUGCACCCGAAAUCUAGCACGUUAAAAGUUCUUUCCAUCAUCACUGACCACAUCUCAAGUGUCCGAACAAUGGUGGCAAUAAAAAAGCAGGAAAAACAAUCGCUGUCCGUUCUGCUGGUCUCAGCCAGCGGUCGGGCUCAGAUCCACUGCUACAGGCUCCUGGUCUGUUUGGAUGCGCAGAAACUGGGUCUCACCUGCCAGGUGAUACAAGUGGGACACCACCGACUGGAUGAAAUCUGGGAGAGACGACGCAAUCGACACAAGAUGGUGAAAAUGGAUCCAGAACCCAGGUAUAUGUCUAUUGCAGUGGUCGGUGAGAAGGACGGUUGUGUUCAUGUGGCUUUGGCAUGCAGCGACGGAGCCAUCAGAUUGUUUUCUGUCUGUGAAGCUCAGAGACAGAUCGAUUUCCUGUGGGAGACCUUUCACCACCAGCGGUGUGUGCUCAGUGUCGCCACCUGCUCUCUGGAGGAUGAAGAAGGCAACCAGUGUGCGCUGAUGUUCAGUGCUGCUACAGAUGGCAAGUUGUCCGUUUGGAAGUUGGCCUCGCCCCCGACCGACUCUCCAACAACCCCCUGCUUCGACUUUCCCACCCACCAGAGUGGCGUCAACGACAUCUCACUUUGGAUGGAGGACAACAAGGAGGACGGCAGUUGCCUGCUGACUGUUGCUAGCGGAGGCGAUGAUGGUCAGCUGGCAGUGGUCAGGAUCAAAGUUCUGUACUCUGGAGACAGCCAGUUCCAGCUCCUCCUUCUAGGUCAGUCAAGUGUCCCUCUCGCUCACGCCUCCCCGCUGACUGCCCUGAAAAUCCUCAAGCCAGGUCUGGUGGUCACCACAUCUUCAGAUCAAAGGGUUUGCUUUUGGAAGGUCAGUAGUACCAGCAUCAGUCACAUGGGAGCGCUGUGUUCUCAUGUUGCGGAUGCUGCUGGACUUGCAGUGUGGCAGGAUGAGGAACCUUAUGAGAAUGAAGCGGUGCGACCCAGUGAGACUCUUGAUCCAAUUUCUAGAAAUGCAGAGAAAGAGGAGGAGGAUUCUGAGAUUAGACAUGCAGAACUGGUUCACAACCGCACUGAAGAAGGACCCAGUCCUGCGCAUGGAUGGGUGCUGGUGUGUGGGCAAGGUUUGCAGCUGCUGAGAGUGUUUAAAUAAUGAAGCCCUCUGAUGACAAUACUGAAUUAAAAAUGUAGAUGUCAGCUCAGAUUUAAAUGUCACCAGGUUUUUCUGUAAUGAAGCAACACAUUCAAAUCUUUUUUUUCUCUCAUGCACUGUAUACAAUGAUGUCGUAUUUGGGGGAAAGUCAAGUCAAGUGUCCCUUUUUUUCAACCACCAGGAACAUUUGCUGUUAAAACACGUUAAUAUGAGAGACUAUUAAAAGCCGCUCCUCUGUGUUUCUGCCAUCUGUGGUCUCUUCAGGGCGACAAACCAGAAAGAUUCUGCCGUUAUUUAUAACCACCACUUCCUCUUGGACGCUGAUGACACUAAAUCAUAUCUGAUUUUAAUUAGAAGACAUCAUCCGGUUAUUCAUCGACUUUUGCGUUGUUAUUUUACAGUGGCCAGAAGGGUGCUGUGUAUUUGUGCUGCUCCAGUGUGUGUAGCUGUGCGGUGGUCUGCCCACUGCAGCUGGUGUCCAUGAACAUUUUAAUAUUUCAGCCUCAGAUCAUGUUUCCCUUUGGCAUGAAUGGGUCACAGACAUCAUGUCUCACUGGAAAGAAAAGAGAAGAAAGAGGUCGACAAGAUGGAAAAAGAAGAGGGAUGAGGUCAGUCAGGCGGAGAAGAGAGGGUGUAAGGAAGACAAGAGCUGUGAGAGGAAAAGUAGCCAGCGAACCCAUGGGACGAGGGAGUGAAAGUUCCUGCGAUUAAGACCAGAGAAGUGGGAGUUGGCGCAUCUCUGUCGUCUGAAUUGGAAGUUGUCAAGACAGCUGUCAAGAGCGUUUGGAGACAUCCUAAAGUUUAUCUUCAUAAAGGGUCAUGUCACGCAACCGGCUACCGCUCCUCGGUCCAUCUGCAGGGAAAUCAGCCAAACCGCCCCGAUCCACUCCAGCACUUCGUCGGAAGUCCACUCAACGCAGACGCCACCAGCAGCAGGCCUCCAUAUCUUCAUCCUCCCGCACCGGCCCUCCUCCCAUUAUUCCAGAUGAGAGCAUCGCCCCUUGGAAAGGCCCGUGUCUGUCGGAAUCUUCCUUCACCUUGAUGGUUCCUCCACCACCUCGGCUUCUCUCCCCUCAGCUGCCGUCCGCCCCGCAGCCCACGCCCUCCACUCCCUUCCACCGCAGGAGAGAGGAGGACGGGGAGCUGUUGAGUUUAAGUUUCGACUCCUCGCUUCAGUCGGCAGCGCAUGACCUGGAUGGUGAAGGUGAUGGAGAGAAUCUCCGAGUGCUGCCAGAGAGCUGGGCUCCUCGUCCCACCCGCCUCCCCCCACUGCGUCCCAUCACCAACCUCAGCUUCAGUCGCAGCUUCACCUUCUCCUUCUUUGAGCUGCCGCAGCACCUGUCAGCUCGAGGUCGCGCGGAACACAUCCGACACCUCAUGCUACUCUUGAGACAGAUCCACUACUGAGUGCUGCUUCUGGACAAAGCUCUACUGACUCACUUGACUCCAUGAUCUCCACUUUAUGUGCUGUGAAAGACUUUGUUUAAUUCAUCAAACUCAUCUUGAAACCCCCAUUAAAACACAUGAUAUUUAUUUAAAUCCAAAACAAUUGUUUGUUUUUUAAAAAAGUCGUUUCCUUCCUCUUCAAAAACGUUUUAUUAUCACCAGUUAGCCUUCUAUCUAAGCGAAAGACAUGGUAAUAAUUAUUCAGAGAGGACAUAAAUGUAUUUAACAAGUGAUUUAACUUUUUAUAAUGUAAGAAAAAUAUGUAUUAUGUUAGGAGAUAUUUAUUUUAUUCAUGGUUAGAGUGAGAAUACAUAAAUAAAUAAAAGUCUCACCAUAGUCAUUAUUUAAACAAAUAUUUUAUUACAGAAAAAAAAACUUUUUAGUUUAAAUACACAUCCUGCAUAUCGUUCUUUUUUCAUGAAUAUCAUAACAGUGUAGAUAUAUUUGUAUAAAUUUCCUAUAGAUCACAAAUGUGUAUGACAACUGAGAAAAUAAAAACCCUUUAUUUAAUGUGACCUUUUUUUAAGAAUAUUAUUGUAUACAUGAUAUACACAUGUAACAAAAUUACUUUAUCUCGUAUGGAGAUAUUGUUUUAUUAUCCACGUCUUUUCUUUACUUCAUAUUCAUUGCUACAAAUACAGUGGGACAGUUCAAUGUCCAUUUCAGUUUUUGCUAGUUUUCCAUGUCCGUCACAUUGUUGAUCCCUCACACACACACAUUCAGCCGGUGAAUCUGAAAGCUGAGCUGUGAUAAUAGAGGCAUUCAGAGCGGCUGAAUGGGGAGUGAAGGGAAAAAGAAAGGGGCUGUAAACUCUGUGUGACGUGCAGAGUUCAAGGCUGUUCUCCACCCUCCUGGACUCACGUGUGUGUGUGUGUGCGCGCGUGCUUGGACUCUCACUUUCGCAUGUGUGUGCUCUUGUGGAGUUGUUUAUUGCUGAUAGUGAAUGGCUCAGCCUCUCUUCUUUGGCCUACCUUUCUUUAUUGUUCUUUUAAGAUGUGAUUAACGGAUGACGUUGGAGGGACUCAAGCUCCUCAAAGCCGGAAAAGUUUUGU